CCUACGGGUGGCAGCAGUGAGGAAUAUUGGUCAAUGGGCGCGAGCCUGACCCAGCCAAGUCGCGUGAGGGAAGACGGUCCUCUGGAUUGUAAACCUCUUUUGUCGGGGAGCAAAAGACGCCACGCGUGGCGUUCCGAGAGUACCCGACGAAAAAGCAUCGGCUAACUCAGUGCCAGCAGCCGCGGUAAUACGGGGGAUGCGAGCGUUAUCCGGAUUUAUAGGGUUUAAAGGGUGCGCAGGCGGAAGAUCAAGUCAGCGGUAAAAUUGAGAGGCUCAACCUCGUCGAGCCGUUGAAACUGGUUUUCUUGAGUGAGUGAGAAGUAUGCGGAAUGCGUGGUGUAGGGGUGAAAUGCAUAGAUAUCACGCAGAACUCCGAUUGCGAAGGCAGCAUACCGGCGCUCAACUGACGCUCAUGCACGAAAGUGUGGGUAGCGAACAGGAUUAGAUACCCUUGUAGUC
rnacentral:rRNA from 1 species